GGAGGCGGAGGUUUGCAUGAGCUGAGACGGCGCCAUUGUACCCCAGAUUGGGCAACAAGAGCGAAAAUCUGCCUCAAAAAAAAAAAAAAAAGUCACUAUUAUAAUUAUUAUGUUUUGCUGAUUAGAAAACUAGUACACGAUCAGGGCCAGGGUGCCUUGGAACACGCUGGAAGAAGGCCACUUCCUCUAGGCAGAGGCAGCCGGGCAGUAGCGCAUAGGAUUCCAGCCCAGGACACAACCUCCUCAACCACACGGACAGGCCUAUAAAAAAAACUUCUCUCAAAAAAGUCAAACAAUUUAAAGGUACAUAAAAAAUGAGCCAGGCACAGUGGCUCAUACCUGUAAUCCUAGAACUUUGGGAGGCCAAGGUGGGAAAAUCACUUGAGCCCAGGAGUUCAAGACCAGCCUGGGCAACAUAGCUACAGAGACAACUCUGUCUCUACAAAAAAUUAAAAAUUGUAAAAUUGGGCAGCCAUAGUAGCAUGGACCUGUAGUCCCAGCUACUUGGGAGGCUGGGGCAGGAGGAUCACUUGUGCCAAGGAGUUCAAGGAUUCAGUGAGCUGUGAUCACAUCACUUCACUCCAACCUAGGCAACAGAGAGAGGUGGCUCAAAAAAAUAGAGCCUGGCUCAAAAAACAAACUAAACCAAAGUAUAAGCCUCUUAUAAUCACAUUCCCAAAGAAAAUCACUAUUAAAAAUUUGGUUAGCUAUUUUGUUUUGUUUUGACAGAAUAAUAAAAUUCAGUUACGGGGAAAUUUAACCUGAAUGGGAGAACACCGUCUAUUUUUAAAUUCUCUUCCUCUCUGACCCUACCCAGCCCAAUAUCACCAAAGGUUCUUAACAACCCAGGAGAAGUCAGCUGCAACUUGAUUAGCAUAUCCUUGGAUGGAAUCCACUUCAAAGUUGAAUCCUCAAGUAUCUCAGUCUAACCCUGAAACUUUGAUCUUUGUCCCUAGGCAGGGCAAAGCCUAAGGAACUGGGUCCUUCACUCCUGGGGGUGGAGGGGGGUUCUCAGAAAUGCAAAUUGUUCGCUGUUCUGCCACUGUCUCCUCUAUCACCUCUCCAGACCCCAGCCUUUGGAUGAGUGGCUUUAACUGGGAGAGGGUUUACAAGUCUGUGUCAGAAAGAGAAGAGCCUUUGGAGAACCCUGAAGAAACACAGAGGACAAAAGACCAGCCGGUUUGCAGUUAGUGUUCUGAAGGGAGUCACAAUUCUAGACCAGCGACCAUAACUGGAAGGAUUCGCUGAGGUUUUAUAGGCCCCCUUAGUUUCCCCAUAUGUGUUCUUGUCGUUUUUCUCUUAUUUCACAGUAAAACCUAUAACAAAAAGGGCUGUUUAUCUUGGGGUACAUCAAGGAAGAGGGAGAUGAGGGUGAAAAAUAUAUCCUUUUCUGCGGCUGGUGUUGGGGAACAAAGAAUCUGGGGUAGAAGUGGGGGUAGAGAUGGUAAAUACAUAGUAAAGCCGCAAAGAAGGCUGGGUGCAGUGGCUCACACCUGCAAUCCCUGCACUUUGGGAGGCUGAGGCGAGUAAAUGGCUUGAGCCCAGGAGUUCAACACCAGCCCGGGCAACAUAAGGAGACUACCACCUCCACAAAAAAGUUCAAAAACCAGCUAGGCAUGGUGGUGCAUGCCCGCAGUCCCAGCUACUUGGGAGGCUGAAGUGGGAGGAUUGCUUGAGCCCAGGAGGUCGAGGCUGCAGUAAAUCAAGAUCAUGCCACUGCUCUCCAGCCUGGGGAACAGAGUGAGGAACCCUAUCUCAAAAAAAACAAAAAACAAAAAAA
ensembl:lncRNA